rnacentral:lncRNA from 1 species
AUGGAUGUCAGGGAUCAGAUGAUUGUUUGGGGGGUAUCGGAUAGAACAGCCACAGAGUGUGAUCGUCGAUCUGCUGCUCUGGUCUCAGUCUGUCCACCAGACAGUGAAGCUUACUCCCGUCAACCGCAACCGCAUGAGUUAGUAAUUAUCCAUCAUCCAUCAUCCAUCCAUCGUCCAUCAUCCAUCAUCCAUCAUCCAUCCAUCAUCCAUUAUCCAUCAUCCAUCAUCAUCCAUCAUCCAUUAUCAUCCAUCAUCCAUCAUCCAUCAUCAUCCAUCCAUCAUCCAUCCAUCAUCCAUCAUCCAUCAUCAUCCAUCAUCCAUCCAUCAUCCAUCAUCCAUCAUCCAUCAUCAUCCAUCAUCCAUCAUCCAUCCAUCAUCCAUCAUCCAUCAUCCAUCAUCAUCCAUCAUCCAUCAUCCAUUAUCCAUCAUCCAUCAUCAUCCAUCAUCCAUCAUCCAUCAUCCAUCAUCAUCCAUCAUCCAUUAUCCAUCCAUCAUCCAUUAUCCAUCAUCCAUCCAUUAUCCAUUAUCAUCCAUCAUCCAUUAUCCAUCCAUUAUCCAUUAUCCAUCAUCCAUCAUCCAUCAUCCAUCAUCCAUCAUCCAUCCAUUAUCCAUCAUCAUCCAUCAUCCAUUGUCCAUCCAUCAUCCAUUAUCCAUUAUCCAUCAUCCAUCAUCCAUCAUCCAUCAUCAUCCAUCAUCAUCCAUCAUCCAUCAUCCAUCAUCCAUCAUCCAUCAUCCAUCAUCCAUCAUCCAUCCAUUAUCCAUCAUCAUCCAUCAUCCAUUAUCCAUCCAUCAUCCAUUAUCCAUUAUCCAUCAUCCAUCAUCCAUCAUCCAUCAUCAUCAUCAUCAUCCAUCAUCCAUCAUCCAUCAUCCAUCAUCCAUCAUCCAUCAUCCAUCUUCUUCCUCUUAUCCAGGAUCUGGUCUCGGAGACGGUCCCUCUCCUGGGCCAGUCUCUCCAGCUCCUCCUGGAGGAUCCCAGGUGUCCCCAGGCCUGAUGUGAGAUGUAGUUCCCUCCAGUGA